UCCACUUUUGGAUGGGCCUGCGGCGUAUUAACUUGUUGGUGGGGUAACGGCCUACCAAGGUGAUGAUACGUAGCCGAACUGAGAGGUUGAUCGGCCACAUUGGGACUGAGACACGGCCCAAACUCCUACGGGAGGCAGCAGUAGGGAAUCUUCCACAAUGGACGAAAGUCUGAUGGAGCAACGCCGCGUGAAUGAAGAAGGCCUUCGGGUCGUAAAAUUCUGUUGUCAGAGAAGAACGUGCGUGAGAGUAACUGUUCACGUAUUGACGGUAUCUGACCAGAAAGCCACGGCUAACUACGUGCCAGCAGCCGCGGUAAUACGUAGGUGGCGAGCGUUGUCCGGAUUUAUUGGGCGUAAAGGGAACGCAGGCGGUCUUUUAAGUCUGAUGUGAAAGCCUUCGGCUUAACCGAAGUAGUGCAUUGGAAACUGGAAGACUUGAGUGCAGAAGAGGAGAGUGGAACUCCAUGUGUAGCGGUGAAAUGCGUAGAUAUAUGGAAGAACACCAGUGGCGAAAGCGGCUCUCUGGUCUGUAACUGACGCUGAGGUUCGAAAGCGUGGGUAGCAAACAGGAUUAGAUACCCUGGUAGUCCACGCCGUAAACGAUGAGUGCUAAGUGUUGGAGGGUUUCCGCCCUUCAGUGCUGCAGCUAACGCAUUAAGCAC
rnacentral:rRNA from 1 species